GGUGAAAGGCGGCGUGACCCUCCGCUGCUACCGGUCAGCACGCGGCACGACCUCGACGGAGAGCUUCCACAACCACCUCGCCCGUUUUAUCCCAGGGACGACUGCUAGUGACCUGCACUACCAAGCGUUCCUGGUGGAGGGCCUGGUCCGUUGGAACGCGGACCGGUAUGCGGCGGCGUCGGACCAGGCUCCCGACCACCUACGCUUGCUACGACGGCCGCAUCAGAACUGCGGCCGCCGACCUGUACCGUCGGGUGUUCCGAAGGACCUGUUCCCCGGCGGGAUGAAGUCCUGCAGUACACUGGCGAGCUCGUCGGGGGGCGUACCUUUACGCCCAGACCGGCAAGCGCCUAGACGCCUACCACUCCACGGACCCGGACCAG